GACGAACGCUGGCGGCGUGCUUAACACAUGCAAGUCGAACGGUAAGGCCUUUCGGGGUACACGAGUGGCGAACGGGUGAGUAACACGUGGGUGAUCUGCCCUGCACUUCGGGAUAAGCCCGGGAAACUGGGUCUAAUACCGGAUAGGACUGCGCGGUGCAUGCCGUGUGGUGGAAAGAUUUAUCGGUGCAGGAUGGGCCCGCGGCCAAUCAGCUUGUGGGUGGGGUAAUGGCCUACCAAGGCGACGACGGGUAGCCGGCCUGUGAGGGGGACCGGCAACACGGGAACGGAAAAACGCCCCGGACUCCAACGGGAGGCAGCGUUGGGGAAAAUUGAAAAAUGGGCGCAAGCCUGAGGCAGCGACGCCGCGUGGGGAAGGACGGCCUUCGGUUGUUAAACCUCUUUCAGCAGGGACGAAGCGUUAGUGACGGUACCUGCAGAAGAAGCACCGGCCAACUACGUG
rnacentral:rRNA from 1 species